rnacentral:misc_RNA from 1 species
AUAGAGAGUGAAAGCUCCCUAAACCCACUGUAAACUUACCUGUUCGUUGCUUCGGCAGGCGGCCCCAGGGCGGGGCUGUAGCCUGUAAAAAGGCGCCUGCCGGAGGUAUCAAACUCUGCUGUAACUGCUGUCCGAGUCCACUAUAAAAACAAAUCA